rnacentral:rRNA from 1 species
UACAGAGGUCUCAAGCGUUGUUCGGAUUCAUUGGGCGUAAAGGGUGCGUAGGUGGUGGGGUAAGUCGGAUGUGAAAUCCCGGGGCUCAACCCCGGAACUGCAUUCGAAACUGCCUUGCUCGAGUACUGGAGAGGAGACUGGAAUUCUCGGUGUAGCAGUGAAAUGCGUAGAUAUCGAGAGGAACACCAGAGGCGAAAGCGAGUCACUGGACAGAACCUGACGCUGAGGCACGAAAGCUAGGGUAGCAAACGGG